UACGUAGGUCCCGAGCGUUGUCCGGAUUUAUUGGGCGUAAAGUGAGCGCAGGUGGUUUAUUAAGUCUGGUGUAAAAGGCAGUGGCUCAACCAUUGUAUGCAUUGGAAACUGGUAGACUUGGGUGCAGGAGAGGAGAGUGGAAUUUCAUGUGUAGCGGUGAAAUGCGUAGAUAUAUGGAGGAACACCGGUGGCGAAAGCGGCUCUCUGGCCUGUAACUGACACUGAGGCUCGAAAGCGUGGGGAGCAAACAGG
rnacentral:rRNA from 1 species